rnacentral:rRNA from 1 species
UACGUAGGGUGCGAGCGUUAAUCGGAAUUAUUGGGCGUAAAGCGUGCGCAGGCGGUUUUGCAAGCCGGGUGUGAAAUCCCCGGGCUCAACCUGGGAAUGGCAUUUGGGACUGCAAGGCUCGAGUGCGGCAGAGGAGACUGGAAUUCCUGGUGUAGCAGUGAAAUGCGUAGAUAUCAGGAGGAAUACCGAUGGCGAAGGCAGGUCUCUGGGCUGACACUGACGCUCAUGCACGAAAGCGUGGGGAGCAAACAGG